CCCUGGCCAAUCUGCAUCUCCUCAUAGAGAUGGAUUGAAUCAAGAAAGUUCAGUGUCUCCAUGCAAAGGGCGGAGACGCUGAAUGGCAGUACUGCUUACUGUGCAGCACUGACCCAGGAAGCACCUCUAGCAGCCAUCUGUGGAAUGGCCAGUGGAAGUAUCCAUAGUCUGUAAUUUAAACACUGCAUUUUCUCUGAAAAGACAGUGUUUACUGCAUAAAGCCCAAAGGGAAUGAUUCUACUUGCCAGAACAAAUACAAUAGCUGUAGUUGUUCUGGUGACUAUAGUGUCCCUUUAAAGUGCACUGGCAGUAAUGCCCAACAGGGCUUGGUGUUGCCUGGAACAGCAUAAAAUGUAACCUAUACAUUGUACUAGCCAAUCUGCUAAUAAAUGUGAAGAUGAAUGGUUAUUCUCGAUAUGCGUUUACCUUUUCUGGUUAUUACUGCUAUGCCAUCAGCAUGACAUUGGCAUAGCAGUAAAACUUUACGGCUAUGCCAAUGUUGUGCUGACGGCAUAGCAGUAAAGGCUGUAUCUAAUUGCUCCACGCUCACAAAUUAUAUGGUCACAUCCCUCAACCCCUCUGUUCAUGUGCGUCCAACUCAUCUAGUUACAAUUACGUGUUUGUCAUUCCGUCCAUUU